AAUAACCAAAGAUUACUUGUGGAUUUAAGGUGGGGUUACUUAUUACCCGCACAUCUCCGCCGCCAGGUGCCCAAGUAUCGUAAACACCACCAAAAAACAUUGCUUUAAAUACUAAAAGGAACGCACCGGUACCUAAUAGAAUUAAAUGGAUACCAAUAAUAGUGGUCAUCUUGUUUUUAUCUUUCCA
rnacentral:antisense_RNA from 1 species